GUAGGUGAACCUGCGGAAGGAUCAUUAGUGAAUUAAACAUGCUUGGUGUCUUCGCUUCGGCAAGGCCCUUGCUUAACUCACAUCCCAACACCUGUGAACUGUAAGGCGCAUGACUAGGUUCGCCCAAGUCAUCGUCUGCCCUUUUUAACAAACAAUUAAUGUAACAAACGUAGUCUUAUUAUAACCUAAUAAAACUUUCAACAACGGAUCUCUUGGCUCUCGCAUCGAUGAAGAACGCAGCAUCUGACUG
rnacentral:misc_RNA from 1 species